rnacentral:rRNA from 1 species
ACUGCUCAGUAACACGUGGAUAACCUGCCCUAAGGAAGGGGAUAACCUCGGGAAACUGAGGAUAAUACCCUAUAGGUUACAGACGCUGGAAUGCCCUGUAACCGAAAGUUCCGGCGCCUUAGGAUGGAUCUGCGGCCGAUUAGGUUGUUGUUGGGGUAACGGCCCAACAAGCCGAUAAUCGGUACGGGUUGUGGGAGCAAGAGCCCGGAGUUGGAUUCUGAGACAUGAAUCCAGGCCCUACGGGGCGCAGCAGGCGCGAAAACUUUACAAUGCGGGAAACCGUGAUAAGGGAACCCCGAGUGCCUGUAUAUGCAGGCUGUCCAGGUGUCUAAAAAACACCUGAAGAAAGGGCCGGGCAAGACCGGUGCCAGCCGCCGCGGUAAUACCGGCGGCUCGAGUGGUGGCCACUUUUAUUGGGCUUAAAGCGUUCGUAGCUGGGUUGUUAAGUCUCUUGGGAAAUCUGACGGCUCAACCGUCAGGCGUCCAAGGGAUACUGGCAAUCUUGGAACCGGGAGAGGUGAGGGGUACUUCGGGGGUAGGAGUGAAAUCCUGUAAUCCUCGAGGGACCACCUGUGGCGAAGGCGCCUCACCAGAACGGCUUCGACAGUGAGGGACGAAAGCUGGGGGAGCAAACCGGAUUAGAUACCCGGGUAGUCCCAGCCGUAAACGAUGCGCGUUAGGUGUGUCGGUGACCACGAGUCACCGAGGUGCCGAAGGGAAACCGUGAAACGUGCCGCCUGGGAAGUACGGUCGCAAGGCUGAAACUUAAAGGAAUUGGCGGGGGAGCAC